CGCAAGGCAAUGGCGUCACCACAGAUGAGUCGCGCACUGGGCCACCGUUACUUCGGUGUGGCCACUGGCCAUGCGUGGGGAGUCGCGAGGUGUAGGCGUCACCACAGAUGAGUCGAACGACAAGGUCUCUGGAUGCACGGCCCAUCAGUCACCAAAGUGGGCAGCAGGUCUAAAGCUGUUUUUUAAAUGCAUUAGUCACUACAGUAGAAAGCUAUUCAAAAGCACUUUAUUCUAUUUGAAUCUGUUACUAUAGUAGACAGUAAUACAAAAGUUGUUUUCCUUUAAGUGCGUCAAUCACUAUAGUGGACAGAUAUUCAAAAGCGCUUUUUUUUUUCUAUAGGGAUCAGUUGCUGCAGUAAGUUAUACAAAAGCUGUUUUCUUCUGUAUGCAUCAGUCACUACAGAAGACCGAUACUGAUCAGCGUUUUUCUUCUCCAAACCCCAAUUGCAAUGAAGUUGAGACGCUGUGUAAAGCGUAAAUGAAAACAGAAUACAAUGAUUUACAAAUCCUUUUCAAAUAAUAUUUAAAUGAAUACACUCCAAAAACAAGACAUUCACUGUUCAAACUGAGGAAGGUUGUCGUUUUUUGCAAAUAUUCUCAUUUUGAAUUUGACGCCUGCGACAUGUUCCCAAAAAGCUGGGACAGAGCCAACAAAAGACUGGGAAAAAGUUGAGGAAUGCUAAAAAAAACACCUCUUUGAAAUAUUCCACUGGGGAAACACUUAAUCCCAGCUCAAAUUGUUCGCUAGCAUUUUAGACAAAAGUUAAAACGCCAUUGACCUCUAGGGGGCAUUCAAGGAUUUGCCACUGACAUAACUUUAGGUCAACUCAACAUUACAACAUGACAGAAAUAAUGGGUGCUAACUUACUGUAAUUAAAUUACUUUAAUAAAUACUGUUAAUGACAUUCUUACUCUAACUUUCUCACUGCCCCUGCUAUAUGGACGGUGUUGUCCAGAUUUCGAGUCCGUAAUGCAUAUCGUAUUCUGUUUCUUUUUCCACUGUCCCAACUGCAUUCGUACAGGAUGCACCUCAGUCACUACAGUAGACUGCUAUACAAAAACGGUUUCCUUCUAUAUGCAUCAGUUACUACAAGAGACUGCAAAAGUUUUGUUUUUUAUGCACCAGCCACUGCAGUAGACAGCUACUUAAAUGUUUUCUUCUAACAGUCACUACAUUAGUUGCUUUUUGGGUACGGGAUGAGACACUAGCACGCACUGUAGUAAUUAGUGCAAAAGUUUUGAAAACAAACCGUCUACUGUAGUGACUAAGGCACAACUUUUGACAUCUAACUUAAUAAUAUAGAAUAAAGCAAUGUGGAUGUCUAUUGUCGUGACUGAUGCAAAUUGAAAAACAAGACCUUUGAAAAGCUGUCUUGUGUGGUAGCUGAUGUGGUGACACGUGAAGAGGAUACGAGGUCAUCCCGAGCUCCAGCGAGAACAUGAGGCUCUUGAAGAGGUCCUCGGGCAGCUGUGGGAUCUUCUCGGGGAAGAUCUCGCAGAUGAAGGUGAUGAGCUUGUAGUACUGGUUGCACAGAGAUGGGAACUGCAGAGCACAGGUGGCGGUGGGGGUUGGGCAAAGAGCUCAGCCAGAUUCUUGCUACAAAGGGGAUAUUGUUGGAAAAAAAACGUGUCUAACCUUGAGAAGGUCCUGAGACAUGAGGGGAAGAACGAUGUUGACGCCGUACAGGACCACGUCUGCGGCAGACACCGGACGACUGGACGCCGGCGUGCCCUGGUCUUGGCUACGGAACACCUCGUCUGGAACAAAAGCGACACAGGCAUACGCCAGGUUGGUGAGCAGCUCCAUGAUGAGCAGCAGGUCCUGGUACUGGUCUUCCUCAGCGGCGGCGUCACUUCGCUUCCUGCUCUGGUUGUUCUUGGAGUAAACCUGCAGCAGCGUCAGGCACGCCUCGUACAGCUUCAUCGA